CCUUCGGGAGGCAGCAGUGAGGAAUAUUGGUCAAUGGGCGUAAGCCUGAACCAGCCAAGUCGCGUGAGGGACGAAGGCCCUAUGGAUUGUAAACCUCUUUUAUAAGGGAAUAAUGAGUGCGACGUGUACCGUUUUGUAUGUACCUUAUGAAUAAGCAUCGGCUAACUCCGUGCCAGCAGCCGCGGUAAUACGGAGGAUCCGAGCGUUAUCCGGAUUUAUUGGGUUUAAAGGGUGCGUAGGCGGUCUUUUAAGUCAGUGGUUAAAGUUUGUGGCUUAACCAUUGAAUUGCCGUUGAAACUGGGAGGCUUGAGUAUGUUUGAGGCAGGCGGAAUGCGUGGAGUAGCGGUGAAAUGCUUAGAUAUCACGCAGAACCCCGAUAGCGAAGGCAGCCUGCCAGGCCAUGACUGACGCUGAUGCACGAGAGCGUGGGGAUCAAACAGGAUUAGAUACCCGAGUAGUC
rnacentral:rRNA from 1 species